GGCUAUAUAGUUCAGCGGUAGAACGCCUGUCUCAUAAGCAGGAGGCUCCGAGUUCGACUCUCGGUAUAGCCA
rfam:Candidatus Pacearchaeota archaeon CG1_02_32_21 cg1_0.2_scaffold_728_c, whole genome shotgun sequence.